AGGGAGGAAGGCUUUAGGGUUGUAAACCCCUUUUCUUUGGGAAGAAGUUCUGACGGYACCAAAGGAAUCAGCCUCGGCUAACUCCGUGCCAGCAGCCGCGGUAAUACGGAGGAGGCAAGCGUUAUCCGGAAUGAUUGGGCGUAAAGCGUCCGCAGGUGGCCAUGUAAGUCUACUGUCAAAACCCAGGGCUCAACUCUGGUCAGGCAGUGGAAACUACAAAGCUAGAGUCUGGUAGGGGCAAAGGGAAUUCCCGGCGUAGCGGUGAAAUGCGUAGAUUUCGGGAAGAACAUCGGUGGCGAAAGCGCUUUGCUAGACCAGAACUGACACUCAGGGACGAAAGCUAGGGGAGCGAAUGGGAUUAGAUACCCCAGUAGUCCUAGCCGUAAACGAUGGAUACUAGGUGUUGCCUGUAUCGACCCAGGCAGUGCCGUAGCUAACGCGUUAAGUAUCCCGCCUGGGGAGUACGCACGCAAGUGUGAAACUCAAAGGAAUUGACGGGGGCCCGCACAAGCGGUGGAGUAUGURGUUUAAUUCGAUGCAACGCGAAGAACCUUACCAGGACUUGACAUGUCGCGAAUCUCAGGGAAACUUGAGAGUGCCYUCGGGAGCGCGAACACAGGUGGUGCAYGGCUGUCGUCAGCUCGUGUCGUGAGAUGUUGGGUUAAGUCCCGCAACGAGCGCAACCCUCGUUUUUAGUUGCCAUCAUUAAGUUGGGCACUCUAGAGAGACUGCCGGUGACAAACCGGRGGAAGGUGGGGAUGACGUCAAGUCAGCAUGCCCCUUACGUCCUGGGCUACACACGUACUACAAUGGUCURGACAGAGGGUAGCCAACCCGCGAGGGCGAGCCAAUCUCAAAAACCAGGCCUCAGUUCAGAUUGCAGGCUGCAACUCGCCYGCAUGAAGGAGGAAUCGCUAGUAAUCGCAGGUCAGCRUACUGCGGUGAAUCCGUUCCCGGGCCUUGUACACACCGCCCGUCACACCAUGGAAGUUGGCCACGCCCGAAGUCAUUACUCUAACUCGUAAGAGAGGGGGAUGCCGAAGGCAGGCUGAUGA
rnacentral:rRNA from 1 species